rnacentral:rRNA from 1 species
UCGAGAAUUUUCCGCAAUGGGCGCAAGCCUGACGGGGCGACGCCGCGUGGACGAAGAAGGCCUUCGGGUUGUAAAGUCCUGUCAAGAGGGAAGAAUGACCGUGUAAAACCACGGCUUGACGUUACCUCUGGAGGAAGCCCUGGCUAACUCUGUGCCAGCAGCCGCGGUAAUACAGAGAGGGCAAGCGUUGUUCGGAUUCACUGGGCAUAAAGCGCACGUAGGCGGGUCGAAUAGUCGGUUGUGAAAUCCCGGAGCUCAACUCCGGAACUGCUUCCGAUACUGCCGACCUUGAGGACGAGAGGGGAGAGUGGAACUUCUGGUGGAGCGGUGAAAUGCGUAGAUAUCAGAAGGAACACCGGUGGCGAAAGCGACUCUCUGGCUCGUUUCUGACGCUCAGGUGCGAAAGCUAGGGUAGCAAACGGGAUUAGAUACCCCGGUAGUCCUAGCCGUAAACGAUGGGCACUAGGUAGGGGAGGUUCUGACGCCUUCUCUGCUGUAGCU